AUAUCUGAUUUCUCUCUCUCUUUCUGAAGACAUUUAGUUUGUGGUGAUGAAUAUGCUACAGUAUGGAAUUUUUCUUGCUUUCAUUCCAUGUGUUUAUGGUCAGUCACUGACCUCCUCUGGCUCUGUGGUGGGUGGACCAGGACAGUCCAUAACUCUGUCCUGUACUGUGUCGGGAUUCUCAAUGGGCAGCUACUGGAUGCACUGGAUCCGUCAGAAACCAGGCAAAGCACUGGAGUGGAUUGGACUCAUUGAUGGUGGCACAGGCACCACCUUUGCCCAGUCUCUGCGCGGCCAGUUCUCCAUCACUAAAGACACCAGCAAAAGCAUGCUGUACCUGCAGGUGAAGAGUCUGAAAACUGAAGACACAGCUGUUUAUUACUGUGCACGAGAGUCACUAUGA